GUCCCUGUAGCGCAAUGGAUACCGAAUUGGACUUCUAAUUCAAAGGUCGUGUGUUUGAAUCCCAUCUGGGAUG